rnacentral:rRNA from 1 species
CAGUCUGCAACUCGACUGCACGAGGCUGGAAUCGCUAGUAAUCGCGGAUCAGCACGCCGCGGUGAAUACGUUCCCGGGCCUUGUACACACCGCCCGUCACACCAUGGAAGUCUGCAAUGCCCGAAGCCGGUGGCCUAACCACUUAUGUGGAAGGAGCCGUCUAAGGCAGGGCAGAUGACUGGGGUGAAGUCGUAACAAGGUAAC